rnacentral:misc_RNA from 1 species
GUUUUAUUUAUAUAGCCUUUCGGCCUAAUGAACAUUCGACUAUCAGAGUUUGUGUUAAAAGGAGGGAGGGAUUAAAUAAAUCAACCCCUCUCUCAAAGUGCACAGGUGUUAAAUGGAUUAAGGGAGAGUGAGCACAUGCUUGACGCCAGCAUCAACUCCCCCAAGUUUCAUUAAUGAUCCUUCCGCAGGUUCACCUACGGAAA